GCCAGCACUCCUGAGCGGUCCGACACGGCCAGUGUGGACGGGCCGUUUCCCGACAGCACCGAGCAGCGAUCGAACUCCUAAAGCGGGUGUCGCAGGUUCGAAUCCUGCCGGGGGCA
rnacentral:tRNA from 1 species